rnacentral:rRNA from 1 species
GAUGAACGCUGGCGGCGUGCCUAAUACAUGCAAGUCGAGCGAACAGACGAGGAGCUUGCUCCUUCGACGUUAGCGGCGGACGGGUGAGUAACACGUAGGUAACCUACCUAUAAGACUGGGAUAAAUUCGGGAAACCGGAGCUAAUACCGGAUAAUAUUUCGAACCGCAUGGUUCGAUAGUGAAAGAUGGCUUUGCUAUCACUUAUAGAUGGACCUGCGCCGUAUUAGCUAGUUGGUAAGGUAACGGCUUACCAAGGCAACGAUACGUAGCCGACCUGAGAGGGUGAUCGGCCACACUGGAACUGAGACACGGUCCAGACUCCUACGGGAGGCAGCAGUAGGGAAUCUUCCGCAAUGGGCGAAAGCCUGACGGAGCAACGCCGCGUGAGUGAUGAAGGUCUUCGGAUCGUAAAACUCUGUUAUUAGGGAAGAACAAACGUGUAAGUAACUGUGCACGUCUUGACGGUACCUAAUCAGAAAGCCACGGCUAACUACGUG